AACGAACGCUGGCGGCAGGCCUAAUACAUGCAAGUCGAGCGCCCAGCAAUGGGAGCGGCGUACGGGUGCGUAACGCGUGGGAAUAUGCCUCUUGGUACGGAACAACCCAGGGAAACUUGGGCUAAUACCGUAUAAUAUCUUCGGAUCAAAGAUUUAUCGCCAAGAGAUUAGCCCGCGUCUGAUUAGCUAGUUGGUGGGGUAAAGGCUCACCAAGGCGACGAUCAGUAGCUGGUCUUAGAGGAUGAUCAGCCACACUGGACCCGAGACACGGUCCAGGCUCCUACGGGGGGCAGAAGUAUGAAAUAUUGGAAAAAGGGGGAACCCCUGAUCCAGCCAUGCGGCGUGAGGGACGAAGCCCUUAGGGUUGAAAAGCUCUUUGGGUGGAGAAGUUAAGGACUGUACCCACAGAAUAAGCCCCGGCAAAAUUCGUGCCAGCACCCGCGGUAA
rnacentral:rRNA from 1 species